rnacentral:SRP_RNA from 1 species
GCCGCCGGGUGAGCUGGAUGCAGGGGACGUCACAGUCUCCGGAGGGGGGUGUGUGGCGAGGCCAGGAAGGGAGCAGCGUCGGCCGUGCGCGUGAUGCAGCGGUGGAGGUACAGC